CUGUAGCUCGCGGGGCUUGGCGGGUUUCUCCUUCGCUCCGUCGGUCCGGCCGAGCUCCGGUCCCGGGGCGGGGCUUCCCGCCGCCCUGCCCGCACGGGCGGCGGGGAGGGAAGGAGUGAGGGCGCCCCGCUGGGGGGCCCGGCUCCGUAGCGGUUGCUUAUUGCCAGGUCUUCCCCUUGAGCCCGUAGCCCUGCGCCUCGGCCUGGCAGCCUUCAGCACGGCUCGCGGCCUUAUCGCCCUUCGCCUCCAGAGGACGUUGUAGCGAGGUGGGGCUCCGUCCCUUCUCCCAAGCCAGAAGUGCCAGGACGAGAGGAAACGGCCUCAAGUUGUGCCAGAGGAGGUUUAGAUUGGAUAUUAGAGAAAAUUUCUUCAUUGAAAGGGUUGUCAAGCACUGGAAGAGGCUGCCCAGGGAGGUGGUUGAGUCACCGCCUCUGGAGGCAUGGAGGUAUAGGCAGUGCUUUUAUUAUGUGUGGAAACAAGGUGCCUCCCUCCAACGACCUCCAGCUGGAAAGAGAAAAUAUACUUCUUGUUUGUGACAAGUAUACUCAGCAGAGUCAGUGAUAGUUGUGCUCACUCACACCAUCCUUGGAACCAGCUCAGACCAACACUCAGUCUUGAUCCUGCACUGAUACCAGUGUCCUGAGGAACAAUCAGGGUCCUGCAAGCAGGUCAAUGGAGGUGAUCUGUCCCCUCUUCAGCAAUGGUGAGGCCACAUCUGGAGUGCUGCAUCCAGUUCUGGGCUUCCCACUACAAGAGAUAUGGUCUUACUGGAGCGAGUCCAGUGGAGGGCCACAAGUAGGAGUAAGCUAGUGGAACAUCUUUCACAGAAGGAGAGGCUGAGAGAAAUGGGACUGUUCAGCCUGGAGAAAAGAUGGUUGAAGGGAAGCUUCUCAAUGUGUACCAAUAUGUGCUGGGAGGGAAUGAUGUAUAGGGAGCCAGACUCUUCUCAGUGGUAACCACUGACUGGACAAGAGGCAAUGGACACAAAUUUAAAAGAAAGUAAAAACCAUCUGAACACAAGAAAAAACUUUUUUAAUAGGAAGGUGGUCAAACACGGGAAUGGGCUUUCCAGAGAGGUUUUGGAUUCUCCAUCUGUGGAGGUGUUCAAAAUUUGACUGGGUAUUCAAAAUUUGACUGUCACCUGGGCAGCCAGCUCUAAGUGACAUGGCUUGAGCAGGGGAGUUGGGCCAGAUGAUCCCAGGAGGUCACUGUCAAUGCAAACAAUUCUGUGAUUGCCAAAACACUGCCAUAGGGUUGCUUUAAUCUUGAAAACAUUUUUUUCCAUAUCCUUUGUAUGUUUCCUCUCAGGACUGUUUCCUGACAAAUUCCAGCUGUAGCAAAGGUAAUGUUGGUAAAGCCAGGUUGGGGGGACACUGUCAGCUUCUGCAGAGGGGGGAUCCAUUUUAGAGUUGUGUGUGUGUGUCUGCAAAGUCACUGCCCAUUAUUCAAUAAAUUUCAAGGGCAGCAUCAGCCUAGUUGGACAUAUGAGGUUGUAUGUGCUCAGAAGCUGUCUAGUGCUGUAGCUACCAUCUGACGAACAAUUUGUGGACCAUACUUCAACUACUAGAUUCUGGGAAGGAUUAGUUAAGGAGAAAGAAAAGCAACGUUCAACAGGAAACAGACUUCUCAUUGUGCCCCUUCAUUGUAUAUUCUCCAUGCUCCCUUUUCUGCCCAGUAGCGCAGGCCAGUUUGGGACACUCUAAAUUGUCAAGAGCAGCAAGGGGUUACCCGGAGUGUGCUUUGUUUGGCAAUACAGACGGCUUUUUUUGUUAACUGACUUGAACCCAUUGUCUGUGCACCCCCCUCCCAUACCCUCUCUCCUGUCCUCACCACCCUCAUCCCCAGCCCAGCUUACCCUCCACAGAUCCCCUUACAGUCUUUGGGUUCAUGAAGUACAAAUUAGCAUAAUCAGAUUAGCUGCAUGGGGUUGUUCAGCAUGGAGCUGAAAAGGAAGAAAAAGAAAAAGUGGUUCACAAAGAGAAGCCCUGAGGAGGGCAGAAGGGGGUGGUAUUGCUGUUGUGCUGUGGUGCUGAAAACUUGCACCUGCAUAGCAAGCAGAUCCUCUUCUCACUAAGGACUCUUAGAUGGUAUUAAAGCAUAGGAAUUAAUUGGGGGAAGGGUAAGGAGGCAGAGAAGUGAUGACAGGAAAGCUGGGAUGGAGAGGAGAGCAGAAAUUCUAUUAAUUGAAUUAUCUGGACUGGGAAUGUAUAGUUUGCUGGCAGUGGAAAAUAUUGUUCGAUUCCUAUUCAUCAUGGAGAGGAGAUCAGCUUGGUAAUCUGGCCUAUCAAGAUAAGAGUUUUAGAGUCUCUGCAGGAGACUGAUAAGAAACAUGGUAGGAAAAAGCAAACCGGUUAGAGGCAGGGGGCAGGGGGCGGGGAAGUGGGGUGUUGUUUUUUUUCCUAGGCACCUUCUGUGUUGGCCUGACAUCACUAAAAGUAGUAAACAAUCUACUUGAUUGCCUUAGUGCCUGCCCUAAUUUUCCCCUUUCUGCCCUUGCUGGGAGAGGAACCCUCCCAGAGGAGUCAAGACUCAAAUCCAUAGCCACAGGUUUUAAAAGCAGCUAGGGGCUUUGUAUGAUUAUGUAUUCAGGAACAUGAGAUGAAGUGACUUGAAGGUGCCUGUUUUUAAAAAAAUCUUUAGAUACCUUCCAAGGCUGCUUCCACACUGCCAGCUCUUCCAGCUGAAUUCCCUGACCAGUCACUGUCAGCUUUCUGAGGUAUCUUAAAAGCAUGAAUGGACAGAGAUUACAAGAAAAGCACCCCAAAAAGCAGUAAUGACAACCCUAAAAUGUUUUAAGUUGAGCCCUCAAGAUCAAGAAUCUUACUGACAGCCUUAGCCCUAGACUUUUUCAGUACUUCACAGAGUCAGGAUAAAAGCAAACAUAAAUGUCAGGAUAAGUCAAGCUUUGAGGCAGUAUUUAUGACAAGCCCCUGGCUAACUUGAACCUCCAGUUUUCAAGAAGAAAUACAGUCUUUGGUAUGAUUUAUCUUAAGAGGACACGGCAGAGAACUGCUGAAAGUAUUUAACUGAUGAAGUUGUGAUAAAAAGCAAAUAAACUUUUUUUAUGCUAUUA